CAAGAACAACGUUAUUGCUAAGCAACCAUCGAAACGAAAGCUCUCACUCAGUCACGGUCUCGCUCUCAAUCGGUCUCGCUCUCAAUCGGUUUUUUGAAUAUUAGUGGAAUCAGUGAUGGACUCGCCACCGCAUUCUCCGAUUUCAUCAUCGUCUCAUACGGCGGCCACUCUGUCACCUCCACCUCCACCUGCACCGAAAAAGAAACCCCAACAGUUUAUGGGAAGGUUAAUUUUGCACUCAUUAGAAGAGCUUACCGAAUUUUUUAAGGAAAUUUUUCUAAUGGAAGAGAACAGCGAAGAAGCAUUGAAUGCUGAGAGAGAAAGGAAAAUGCGCAUUUUGAUGUCACUGCGUUAGUGUCUUGUCUUGUGACUCUGGUCAGUGGUGUGGGUAUGAUUUUAUUUCUCUGUUUCAUUAUUUCUUCAAAUUUACAUUUGGUAAGAAUCUAAAUUAAUAUAUUUGAUGUCAAAAUAUGUGUCUGCGUUUUCCUUAAAUGCCUUUUUUAUGCAAAAAUAUGCCUUUUAUGUUAGAUUUUUUAUGCCUUAUAACUUGAACUUUUAAGGAUAAGUCUGCUUCUCUCGGGAAAAAAGUAUAAAUUUUUUUCGUUUUAAUUGUUGAUGAUUCUCAUUCUGUAAUCAAUAAUAAAUCUCUUAAAUUAGUUGUGUUUUUCUCAAUUAUUAUUUGUAUUGUUUGACUAAGCAAAUUGUGAAGGUCUGGUGGAGGUUAUGAAUUAUGAUCCUUAUUAUAUAAGUUUACACAGGGGUAUCUAAGGUACGUUCUCUUGUUUACCAAAACUAUUUUGAAUCCAUAACUAACUUGUUUGUUGGAGUUUUUGCAAGUACUGCACCCUUUCUUUGCUCAAUCAGUCUUGAGGCCAUUAGAGGUAUUGUAAAGACAAUCAAUUUAGAGUCUUCAACCGCAAUUCUGUUGGGCUGCACCCCUUCAAAUUUUGACAAGAACAGUUGGUUCAUUCAACUUCAUAUUUGCUUCUUUUGAGUUGUUUUUACAAUAUAUACAAGUUCAUAGUUACGAGUUACUACUAGUUCUUUUUUAUGAUAUUUGUUUUAUGAGUAAUGAGAAAUAGUUACUACUUAAUACAAUAGUGUGAUAUAUGCAUCUCUUUAAUAGCAAGAUAAAUUAAACAAACCUUGAACUAUGUCUAUAUAUGCUUGAAUUUGAAAACAGUUCACUAUUCAUUUCCCCCUUUGAAUUCUUGCUCGUAUCAUUUAUUUGUAUUGGAUUUAUUUGUUUGUCAUUUGUGAAGGAAAAAAGAACCUUUUCAAUUAAAAAAUGUUUUGAAAAAUUUAUCAUAUUUAGAUAAGUUUUUCCGAAAAUUUAUUGUAGUACUUCUUUCAGAAACUGGAAAUUGUAGAUAAGUUUUCACCUCUCAUUUGAUUGAAGAUUAGUUUUUGCUUGGAAUGCAUGAAGCCAUGAGCCUUCACUUAAUGCAUGGCUUGCAUCUAAUUACUCUAAAAGAUUUCCUUAGACAUAGAAUUCAACUUGUACCAUUGUUUCAAACAAAAUCUGCUUGAUCCAUUUUGUUAUUAUCAUAGUACUGCUGCUCAAGUUCUCAUAUGCUUCUGAGUAUUUUUUAACUUCAAUAUACCCUAUCAAGAAUAAUUUACUUCCAAUUACAAUGAUAAUGGGAAAAAGUUGAGUUCAAUUAUAUGGGAACAAAAAAUAUUGUGAUUAUGUGCUAGUUGUUAGAAUUUAGAACCACCUAGCUAGUUGUUAGAAGUCACUUGGCUUCAAUAUAAAUUCUUGAGAUGUAAUAGCUUUUAAUGACCUGUUUGGAUCCACACUAAAAGGACUUAUCAGAGCUUCUCUUUUUAGAUAAAGCACCUAUGCUUGUUAGUGUUUGAAUGAAUCUGCUUCAUCUGUUGUGACUUUCGAAAAAGUUUGGAGAAGAACUUUUCGUGAAGCUAAGAUUGAACACUUAUGUUCAUAUUUUAGUUGCACUGAAAUAACUUCAUUUCAGCAUGCUUUAUUUGCACGGUAGUUCUGACUUUAAAAAUAAUGUCACUAGGUAUGGUACUGUUUCUAAUAAAUGAAUAAUAGUUAAAUGCUAACUUUGUAAGUUAAUUUCAAAGAUGUAGAACUGUUCCUUUUAUGAUAAUGAAUUGUUUCUUAUUUCAGAUUGAAAACUUUCAAAUAUUUUUUACUAUUUUGGAAAGGCUUGGUGCCAUUUUUGUUAGGCCAUAAAGAUUGCCAUUUCUUAAAAGUUUAAUUGCAGUAUUUCUGGUUUGUUUUGGUUCAUUGAUUGUCAGCAAUAUUUUGUUUAUUGUGGUAAUGUUAGUAAUAUCAAUGUAUAAUUUUUAUUGAUUAGAUGGACAUUUUCUAUUUGGGCUUAGUUUUAAUGUUUGCAGGUCAUGAAAGUCAGAGCAAUUAUGAAUAGGAAUUGUUUGGAAAGAGCACUGCCUCCUCUAGUGGUGCUGCUCUACAUGAUAACUUUACUAUUGCUUACAUCAAAUGACGACUUUACAAACUCAGUUCACAAAAAGUACAUCAGAAAUGAGGUGCAAAUUUGGAGCAUUAGGAUGUUAGAAUAUUUCUUGUCCGUGGUAGUGUUACAAUAUUGUUCUCUUAGUUAAAUAUUAUUCGGUUUGAAGGCUUGUUAGGAGCAGCAGGGUGCUGCGAUGUCUUAACUAUGGCUCACAAGUAUACGGGCAGUAUGGAAAUAUAGAAACAGUAUGAUAUUUGCUCAAGAAGAUUUUAUUUGGGAGAAGGUUGUGGACAAUGUCAAAGUUCUAUUGUGGAAAAUACUGUUCACGAUGUUCAAAGGAUUUACGUUCUCAUUUGCACAACGGUGUAAUAAUCCUUUACCUUGUCUUGGGGUUAUCUAUUUGAUCGAACAACAUUUUGGCAUAUGUGUUGACAGUAAAUCCUACUUCAGUUUAUCUACAUCAGGCAAUAUCAGUCCUAUGUUGAUUCCAAUCUAAUAAUCUUUGGGUUUGUGGUUGCUAGGAGUGCAUGAAUUAUUGCAUGGUAGAUGUACGACAUUGUAUUAGGCUUUUACUGUUAUGUGUUUCCCAGUGGAGAUUAUUUUAGUGUGUUGUCCCUGUUGACUUGAUCUUAGCAUUCCUUGUGCUAGGAUUAGAUGUUGUUUAAUACAUUUUUCUUUUUCAAAAUAAUAAUAUUAUUCAUUUGGCCUA